rnacentral:lncRNA from 1 species
AACUGGUAAUUGGUUAAUGGUGUGAAUCUAUGUAUGAAAAGCUUACUGGGUACUUUGAAAAAUGGUGGACGGACCCGGUACAUAGGGAACCCUACUGCGGACAUUACCUCAUAUGAACGGGGCUGAGAAGUCCUAUACCGGAAUGGUUUAGGAGAUAUGCUUCAUCCUCAUACCGGAUGGGGGAUUUAUGCGAUGGUGUUUAGCGCCCAUUAUCAGACAGAGUAUGGGGACGACUAGUUAAUUGACAAAUUUGGAUAUUGGGUUCACGCGUAGGGAGACAUCCCUGUGGAUGUCCAGAUGUACCAGUAAGCAGAUAAAAA